rnacentral:tRNA from 1 species
GGGGCCGUAGCUCAGCUGGGAGAGCGCCUGCUUUGCAAGCAGGAGGUCGUCGGUUCGAGCCCGAUCGGCUCCACCA